ensembl:lncRNA PMS2P4 PMS1 homolog 2, mismatch repair system component pseudogene 4
GAGGCGGGGCGCCUGUGGGAGUCGUGGAGGGAACUUUCCCAGGCCCCGAGGCGGAUCGGGUAUUGAGUCCAUGGAGCGAGCUGAGAGCUAGAGUACAGAACCUGCUAAGGCCAUCAAACCUAUCGAUCGGAAGUCAGUCCAUCAGAUUUGCUCUGGGCCGGUGGUACUGAGUCUAAGCACUGCGGUGAAGGAGUUAGUAGAAAACAGUCUGGAUGCUGGUGCCACCAAUAUUGAUCUAAAGCUUAAGGACUAUGGAGUGGAUCUCAUUGAAGUUUCAGACAAUGGAUGUGGGGUAGAAGAAGAAAACUUUGAAGGCUUAACGAUGUCACCAUUUCUACCUGCCACGCAUCGGCGAAGGUUGGGACUCGACUGGUGUUUGAUCACGAUGGGAAAAUCAUCCAGAAAACCCCCUACCCCCACCCCAGAGGGACCACAGUCAGCGUGAAGCAGUUAUUUUCUACACUACCUGUGCACCAUAAGGAAUUUCAAAGGAAUAUUAAGAAGACGUGCCUGUUUCCCCUUCGCCUUCUGCCGUGAUUGUCAGUUUCCUGAGGCCUCCCCAGCCAUGCUUCCUGUACAGCCUGCAGAACUACAGACUGUCCCUGAAGUGUUGUCUACUGUUGUGGAGGCAAUCACUGUCAUUCCCAGGCACUGAGCCUCGAAACUGCAGAGUCAAAGGUGACCUCCUUUUCCCUGGCCGCUCACACCACCUCCAUCGAUUCUCCCUGGGCAGCACUUCUGCUGCCAGUGGCGUGACUUGGUCACGCAGGCCCUUCCUCUGGGCCACAGCCACUGUCUUCCAGCCAAUUGACCUUCUGAUUCCAGCUGUGGCUUCUCUCAACUUCCCACAGACGGCCUGAGACUGUGCCGACAGCAGAAUUGAUUCCUAUGAUCCUGAAUGUAAAGUCUGAGUAUCAAAUCU